rnacentral:misc_RNA from 1 species
GUGCCCUGGAAACGAUCUAGCAAAGCUUGAAAUCUCCAUCUUUCUGCACCAUUUUCUCCUUAAUUAUGAGCUCGAACGUCUCAAUCCUGGAUGUUCAUUAAUGUACUUACCUCAUUCAAGACCAAAAGACAACUGCUUGUCAAGAAUUAAGAAAAUUCCUUGCUCAUGAAGAAACAGAAAUGAAUGAACAGCAGACAUUAAAAUCCACACAUACAGGACAAACCAACAUGCAAACACAAGGAAGGUUGGUUGGUUGCUUACACUGUUGUAUCCACACCAUGAAAUUUUUAAUAUCAAAAUGGUUUAGAGCUUUCUAA